UGGGGAAUAUUGGGCAAUGGGCGAAAGCCUGACCCAGCAACGCCGCGUGAAGGAAGAAGGUCUUCGGAUUGUAAACUUUUGUCUUAUGGGACGAUAAUGACGGUACCAUAGGAGGAAGCCACGACUAACUACGUGCCAGCAGUCGCGGUAAUACGUAGGUGGCGAGCGUUAUCCGGAAUUAUUGGGUGUAAAGGGUGCGUAGGCGGGUCGUAAAGUCAGAUGUGAAAUGCGGAGGCUCAACCUCCGAACUGCAUUUGAAACUUACGAUCUUGAGUGGAGUAGAGGCAAGCGGAAUUCCCGGUGUAGCGGUGAAAUGCAUAGAUAUCGGGAGGAACACCAGUGGCGAAGGCGGCUUGCUGGGCUUUUACUGACGCUGAGGCACGAAAGUGUGGGGAGCAAACAGGAUUAGAUACCCUGGUAGUCCACACCGUAAACGAUGAUUACUAGGUGUAGGCCGGCUGAACCGGUCUGUGCCGCAGUUAACACAAUAAGUAAUCCACCUGGGGAGUACGGCCGCAAGGUUGAAACUCAAAGGAAUUGACGGGGGCCCGCACAAGCAGUGGAGUAUGUGGUUUAAUUCGACGCAACGCGAAAAACCUUACCAGGUCUUGACAUCCGACUAACGAAGUAGAGAUACAUUAGGUGCCUUUCGGGGAAAGUUGAGACAGGUGGUGCAUGGUUGUCGUCAGCUCGUGUCGUGAGAUGUUGGGUUAAGUCCCGCAACGAGCGCAACCCUUGUUGUCAGUUGCUACGCAAGAGCACUCUGGCAAGACUGCCGUUGACAAAACGGAGGAAGGUGAGGAUGACGUCAAAUCAUCAUGCCCUUUAUGACCUGGGCUACACACGUACUACAAUGGCGGUAAACAAAGAGGAGCGAAGUCGUGAGGCAGAGCAAAUCUCCAAAAGCCGUCUCAGUUCAGAUUGCAGGCUGAAACUCGCCUGCAUGAAGUUGGAAUUGCUAGUAAUCGUGAAUCAGCAUGUCACGGUGAAUACGUUCCC
rnacentral:rRNA from 1 species